rnacentral:rRNA from 1 species
AUUGAACGCUGGCGGCAGGCCUAACACAUGCAAGUCGAACGAGUGGCGGACGGGUGAGUAAUGUCUGGGAAACUGCCUGAUGGAGGGGGAUAACUACUGGAAACGGUAGCUAAUACCGCAUACCAUCGGAUGUGCCCAGAUGGGAUUAGCUAGUAGGUGGGGUAAAGGCUCACCUAGGCGACGCUCCCUAGCUGGUCUGAGAGGAUGACCAGCCACAGUGGAACGGAGACACGGCCCAGACUCCUACGGGAGGCAGCAGUGGGGAAUUUUGGACAAUGGGCGCAAGCCUGAUGCAGCCAUUCCGCGUGUAUGAAGAAGGCCUUCGGGUUGUAAAGUACUUUGGGCAGGGAAGCGUUACCCGCAGAAGAAGCACCGGCUAACUCCGUGCCAGCAGCCGCGGUAAUUC